CAAUAGCGUAUAUUAAAGUUGUUGCAGUUAAAAGCUCGUAGUUGGAUCUCAGGUCCCGGCUCGCGGUUCACCUCGCGGUGCUUACUGCCUGUCAGGCCCUACCCGCCGGUUGUCCCUUGGUGCUCUUCGCUGAGCGUCUCGGGUGGCCGGAACGUUUACUUUGAAAAAUUAGAGUGUUCAAAGCAGGCGGCUCGCCUGGAUAAUGGUGCAUGGAAUAAUGGAAUAGGACCUCGGUUCUAUUUUGUUGGUUUUCGGAGCUCGAGGUAAUGAUUAAGAGGGACAGACGGGGGCGAUUCGUAUUACGGUGUUAGAGGUGAAAUUACUUGGAUCGCCGUAAGACGAACUACUGCGAAAGACAUUUGUCCAAGAAUGUUUUCUAUUAGUCAAGAACGAAAGUACAGAGGUUCGAAGACGAUUAGAUACCAU
rnacentral:rRNA from 1 species